CCCUGGUUCUAUAGCUGGGUGGAAUCUCAGAUCCCAAGGGCUGUAGUCCAGAUCAUAGUGGGGUCCCAGCAGUUGGGUCACUGGAAAUGCUCAGUCCACUUAAUGACAAUUCCCAUUACAGGUUUCAGGGUGGUCACUGCCUUAUCAAAAGUCUUGCUAAAAAACCCUCUGAUACGGGAAUCCUAGUGUGCUGGGUAGUGGAGGCUGUGGUAUUGGGACUUUGGCCUUGACACAACCCUUUCCCCGCCCCUUCUCUUGUUUAAGGUUUGCUAUGGCUCACAUACUUCCAGGCAGACAGCUGAGUACCUGCUGCCUGCAGAGAAGGGUCUGGGGUGGAGGUUCAGUGUCAGGUUUAAUACGUGUUGCCUUUUGCCCAGCAACGACAUGUGCCCCACCUCUGGGGAGCUGGCCACUGACAGAUCUUGGCAGCCUGGCAGGGUGGGCUGCUGGCUUCUUAGUCUUAGUGCUUUGCUCCUGUGCACUGGGGUGGGGAGCAUCCUAGGGAGGGCUAGAGAAGAGGCUGCCACGAACGCAUGGCCUUAAACACCCCUAGGAGCCUCUGCAGUGCCAUCUACCCUGUAUCAAGGCCUGCACACUGCACAGGUCAUCUGAGAGACAGAGGCCUUUCUUUUUAAAUAGCACACAUAAAAAGACAGUGGCUUCGUAAGGCCUCAUUUGGAGAUUGAAUUUUUGAAAAAGCCUUUGGCUCAAGGCACUCUGGGAAUGAGGUUCAGGACACAGGGCUCACCUGUGCUAGCCACCCCCUUCGCAUGUCAGUCCUGGGCACUUUUGGAGGGGGUCUCCUGCCAGAGACUCACCUCCUUUCUCCCCUGGUAGAUCAAGGCCUUACAGACUCUUCGGCAAGUUUUGUGGAAUAGCUAGAUGUCUUUGCUGCCUUGGGCUGAACUGAAUGCAAAGGGGGACACAGGGGUAGCUGCCUUCUAAGUGAGGAACCAUCAUUAUCUUCACAGUUACAACAGGAGCAAAGAAACUUCGACAAAAGCUUUCCACUCAGGCCUGCGAUGUGUUCAGACCUAAAAAGAGUUGCAGCUGUAGGGCUAUAGCUUAGCAUGGGCUUCCUAUUCUGGUGAUAACUGCUACUGGUACAUGGCCCAGGCCAAGCCUCAUUCUAAGUGUAGACUACCAUGACUGUCUGCUUAGAACGGCUGUGUCCCUACCCCUAGCCCAGAGAGUUGAUUUGGAAGAAAAGCCCAGGUUCAGUUUCACUUCAGUUGAAAUGAUCACUCUACCCUGGCUAUGACAGAAUGACAGAGGGCUAUCUAUGCUGGGACUGUGCCCUUCCUUAGCCAGAUCCUGGAGAAGAAAGGACACAGCCCGGCCAGGGGCUGGGGAGAAAGGACUCAUCGGCUAUGCUGGGGAGCCUGGCUUUCGGGCUUAGGCACAGAGAUGGGAGUGAGCAGAUGCGGCAGAACCUAGGAAACAAGGGAAGGGAUGUUCACAGAGGAAACUAGGAUGGGAGGGAAUGGGGUUGCUUCUCUCUGGAUUUUAUCCCGUAGACUCUGGUGAACAGCUGGGCAGAUGGAAGGGUUUAGGUGGGUCAUGCCAGAUGCAACAGAUGCAAUUCAUUGGCUCUAGUCUAUAGGAGACAGAUCUCAGUGAGGUCAGGAUUGGGGUCAAAAGAAGGAAGGCUUUGACAGUGGAGAAGGGCAAGAAGAAAAGCCUCAAGAAGUGCACAUGCAGAGGGAGGUGAGCUGAGAUAAGAUGCCAUUAUCUAAAAAAUAAAAUAAAAUUAAAUUAAAAAUUAAAAAUGGAGUUGGCAGGUGAGUUUUGGUGGAACUCUACAUCCAGGGGCCUCUUUAACAAGAGGGCAAGGGCAGAUUCCAGGGACAUGAGUGUGGAGGGGGAAGUUGAGGCGCAAGACCAGAAGCAGAAGGAAGUGGGGAGGUGGGUAGCUUCUUGGGAAUCCAGAAGAGCAUGGUCCUAUGUAAGAGAACUAACUCUCCACAUGCCUCAGAAGGGCGAAGUACCGGCUCUCUCCUGCCAGCGGCUUAAUGAGCUCUUUGUCUCCCAAUAUAUAUAGCAGUGUGUCUCUCACACACUGUGGUUGCUAAAUUAAUGUCUGAACACAGAUGUAAGGGAGAGCACGUGGUAAGAGGGUGGCCCGAGAGAACCCUAGUGGAUUUGGCAAUGUUGGAAUGGGAUAGAUGGGAUGUCGGACGGGUUUUGGGAAAAAGACUGCUGGUUGGAGGGAGAGAGGGAGGAAGAGGGCAGGACUUGGGGCGGAGCCUCAGUGUGGUGGGGGCAGAAGGGAGGCAGUCUUCCUCGGCUUCUUGUGGAAGUUUACCCAAGACAGGAAGGGAAAACACACAGCCAAAACCUUGAGGUUGGAGCACAUUUAAGGGAUGAAAAUGGAUGCUUAUUGACUCUUCCAUCUCUCUUCAAAUGUUGCAUGUUCCUUGUAGAACACGUAGGGAAGUGUUUAUGAGAGAUUGCCUGUAAUUUCAGCCAUGGUGCCGGCUGGCUGCAUCGCUCAUAUCCUGGGAUGCAUGUGGCCCUUGGGUGGCAUGUUGGACACACAUCUGGUACUGUUAAGCUUUAAUUUCUUUCCAGGCCUUUGUUCCUUUCCUCAACAUAAAAAUUGCGGCGGCGGCGGUGGUGGUGGUGGUGGUGGUGGUGGUGGUGGUGGUGGUGGUGGUCUUGUCAUUGGUAGGAAUGGCAUCACUAAGAACUGUAUUCUACAACAGUAUCUUUCUUGCUUAAUUUCUUGAAAACGUUUCUGUAUUCAACAUCCCUUAAAUAUUACCCAUCUCCUUUAAACCUAAGAUCCAAGCAAGUGGUUCAAAAUGCAAUAGCUUCCAGAGACCACUCUGGGGAAGGCGCCCUUUCUGCCCCUGCUUCUGAAUCACUAGGCUUCCUUUCCAGGCUGUAACUUUUUAGAGGAGAAAGUUCUAGUAUGUAAGUAAUCGAGAAACGACUAAAAAAACGACCUGCCGUGUUGCCUAUGUAGAGACACUAGGGCCUCAUUUUCUAUUGUCUGCGAGACUUCCACAGUUCUCCUUGUGGCCAAAUCGUGCAUGCGCACCUUGUUUUCUCCAAAGACGUUUCUAGGUAGAAACGUCUUUCUAGGGUAGAAGGACAAAGCACGUUCCUGGAAGCGGUGCUCCUGGAAAAGAAAACUUCCAAGGUCAUAUUUUCUUUCUGAGGAAGUUUAUCAAACAGAUGGUGCGCUCCGAGCGACGAGCACAGCGGCUCAUACCCUGAUUCUGCCCUCCGCCUGUCAAAAGUCACUCCCUCGAAUGGUGCCCACCGUAGUUGGAGGGGACAGGGAAGGGAGAUGCCAGCGAGCAUCUCUAAUCCUCACCAGUGAGCUGUCUUUUAGAUGAUGUGAGUGGCAUUUUUGGUGGUGGUGGUGGGGGGGGAUGGGAAAUUGUAAGUGCUGACUCCCCUGGCACUGCUCCCCUGGGAGCUCGUGGACGAUGACAGCGCCAUGGCUAGAGGUGGCUGUGCCACCAGGAAACACAAAACUAGGGGACAAGCCUUUUUUUUUCUCAUUAAUUUAUUUAUUCACUUUACUUUCCAAACAUAAGCCCUCACCCCCUCACAUAACUCCGGCCCUACUUCCUACUCUCCUCUGAGAAGGGGGAAACACCACCCCCGUCCCUGCAACCCCCGUGCAACCAGGUAUCAAUCCAUCCUGGCACAUCAGUCACUGUAGGACUAGGCUCAUCCUCUCCCACAGAUGCCAGACAAGGCAGCCCAGUGUGAGGAACGGGAUCCACAGGCAACAGUCAGGGACAGCCCCUGCUCCAGAUGUUGGGGGAGCCCACAUGAAGACCAAGCUGUACUUUUGCUACAUAUGUGCAGGGUUGCAGCAGAGGGGGGAGGGCUAGCCCCAGCCCAUGUCUUUGGUUGGUGGGUCAGUCUCUGGGAGCCCCUGAGGGCCCAGGUUAGUUGACUCUGUUGGUCUUCUUGUGGGGUACAAAGGGAAGGGUCGCUGCCUUGCAGACUGGGUUAUUGUUUGUGUGCUUUCCCCUCUUGAAGAGACAAUGUGAGACUUCUUUUUCUGGCAGCUGUUCAGGGUGCUGUUGAGAGUUCUCGUGAAGGUUUGCAGAGAGUUGGUGGAGGUGGGGGAGGGGGAGGGGGAGGAGGAGGGAAGGGGGGGUCACUGCUCUAGGUAGGUGACUCCAGCUGCUUUAUAGACUUUGUCCACUGCUCAGUCUCUGGGGUGGGAGCAUGUGCCCUGCUGCCCUCUGACUAGGACUGCUUCAUGACUCCUGAUGGCAGAAGAGAAGCCAAGGGCGGCUUCCUCUUGCCCUUCUGAGGGUGCAAAGGUGGGAGUCAUAGGAAGAUGCCACUCUUAUUUCCAGGUGAGCUAGAGCAUCAACAGGGAUAGAUUAUUUUUCUCCUUUGUGUUCACUCCCUCUUUGGGUUACUCUUAAAAAUUCCUGCUGCUAGCUGGCUGGUGGUGGGGAAACUUCCUUCUGACUCUUCUGCUCUAUGUGCUAUUCAAGAGGAAGAGUCUCUUUCCUAAGGAAUAUGUGACAGCAUAAGAGAUGCGUUACAGCCAAGAUAUCUUGGCUUCUAUUAUGCAAUUUCUUCUCUGGGUUAACAUUGUCAGGGACCUCUGUGAUGCUUGUAGAUCUAAGUCUGGGAGGUGAAACUCCUUCAUGGCCCAUCAGCAUCCCCAGUGACUAUAGUGCCUUUAAGGCUCACUGCUUAGCUGGAUUCAGAGGGUGAUGAGCAUUUGUGAGUUGUAACUUGCUUGGAAACCUGACUUGAAUCUUCAAUUAUUGCCAGUUUUCAAACCUUGCUGUUCCUGGGACUUAAAACAGAGAUUUGUCUCAGGUAUCAUCAGGCCCUGAACCUCAGCUUGGCUCUUCAUUUGUUUCUGUAUUAGUGUCCUAGGUUUGCUGUCAAAAGGAUUCUACAAAGUGGACAGCUCCAGACAGAGUACUUCUUCUCUCCUGGUUCUGGAGACCAGAAGUCCAAAAUCAAGGUACUGGCAGGGUUGGCGCCUUCUGGGAUCUUUGAAGGAAAGUCCAUUUCAAAUCUCUUUCCUAGCUUCUGGUGGCUGCUGGCAGCCCCUUGGCGCCCCUCUUUUGUGGGCACAUUGUUUUAAUCUGCCCCGGCAGCACACAGUGCUCUCCUCUCUCUGUAUCUGUCUUUGUGUGCUUCUCACAAGGACAUCAGCAAUUGGAUUUGGAGCCUGAUCUGAUUUAGAGAGCUUUUUGAGGGGUUGCUAUUUAGACCUCUCUGCCUUCAGACCACUUCUCUCUCAGAUUCUGUUGUUUUUCUCAGGCCUCUCUUAGAAGGAAUGCUUCAUUUUUGCUCCCAAGGUCUCCAGUGACUUCCCCACGACCCACAGAAUAAAAUCCUGUCUCUCUAGUUCCACUUUAGGAGGCCCACCAUAGUCUGGUCCCAGCGAUGUUUUUGAUUUUGUGUGUCUAUGCCUCUACACAUACCCUCCAGGUCCAUGGGAAAGGUCUCCUGCAUUGUGGAAUUUGUUGUCUGUGUCACGGACUUGCUACUACCACUCUGUCUGCUUCUUAGAUGCUUUCCUUCAAUGCUGCCUGUGUCGUGUCUUUCUGAGGAGAACAUUUGUAAGCUGCUCUGAAUUGCAGACUUGGCUGUUGAUAUACUCUGCCCAGUUCCUCAUUUGGAGUGAUCCUCCAAAUGGGGUCUGCAUGUCACCCAGAGCCUGUUUGCUAUGCUUUCUUAGGCUUUUGGAUCUGGCCAGCCUUGAAUCAUAUGAAACUGGAAGCCAAGAGACACUGGCUGUAGUAGGGAAGUAUCUGUGUCGGGGAACCACUGUCUAUCCCCGUAUGGGCCUUAGCAACAUUAGUAGACAGACCAAAGAGAUGAGAGAGGAGGAAGAAGAGACUGAAGGACAUCAACACGUUUCAAUAGCAGCUCUGAUAGAGACCCUGGAAACCUGAAAACUUUAAAAUAACAAAGAGGGUUUUUUCCUUGCAGUGUUGAGAUCAAGCCCCGGGCCGUGGCCCAUGCUGAGCAAGAGUGGCACUGCUGGCCCGGUGGUGGCAGCGGCGGCGCACGCCUUUAAUUCCAGCACUUGGGAGGCAGAGGCAGGCGGAUUUCUGAGUUCGAGGCCAGCCUGGUCUGCAGAGUGAGUUCCAGGACAGCCAGGGCUACACAGAGAAACCCUGUCUCAAAAAAAAAAAAAAAAAAAAAAAAAGUGGCACUGCUAAGCUACAACCCCAGCCCAAUGAGACAUUUUUUUUCCUUCUGUAAUUGCUCUCAGUGUCUUUUGCUAGCUCUCAGUAAGUACAAUGACCAGAGAGCCCUUCCUUGCCAGGUCUUGGCAAUGGUUUUAUGAGUUGGAUGUAGAAACCCAGGCUAAGGCAAACACCCAGGUAAAGCUGCUGCUUGCCUCCCCCAGAUAGCUUAUGGAUAACCUUAUAUGAUCAUUUUGAGCUUGUCGACUCCAUAGAACUUUACAUGUCUGCUCUCACCUUGCUAGGUUACGUUAGAAACAGGUAGCCCUGAAUGCCAUUUAAAUUAGAUUUUUUUCUUGUUUUUGGAGGUUGUAUCUAAACCUCACAACAGUUGCCUACUGAUCUUGAUCUCUUGCCAGUUGGGCAUUUCAACGGUCAGUGUUCUAUGCAGGAGGAGGUGUGUAGGUGGAUUUUCCUGUCAGCGAGGCUUCCCUGUUAGAUAUUUAUGUAUUCGCCUCCUAGUCCUAGUGGCAACCUUGUUCAAGUUAAACAACUAAAACAGAGGGAACAACUUGAGUACAAGCCUGUCCUAGUCAUCUGCAUAAAGAAUGUAUAGGAAUUUGAAGUGUUUUGAGACUCAGGAAGGAAAGAGGAGAGCGCCUGAGACCAAGGGCCAAGUUGGCGACUCUGUCCUUAAGCACUCAUAUCCCGUCCCCACUGCGUCCUACCACCAGAACCUUCCUUUUAACAAAAGUACAAAAACCAUGUAACACAAAACAGAAUAUGAGAUCUUUCAAUGACCGUGUUCAUGCUGUGACUAGGAAAUGCUCGCUAGGGCAAAAACUUUCAUGCAGGUGAGCUAACAACCUGUUAUCAUUGCUCCAAAGGUACAGAGUUGAAGUGGGUGUCAGUAACACAGGCAGGCUGGGUUACUUCAACUUCAGCUUCACUUAGGGAGACAAGAAUUCUGGUAUUUCUGUGUUUCCUUUUCCAACUAGACAGUAAAUUCCUUACAGGAAAGGAUGAGGUCCAUUUGGCUUUGUAUCUCUGGGUAGCCACUUAGUGGCGGGGAUGUAAGAACACUGGAAACACUUUCGUUUAGAAUUACAGGACUCUCCAAACAGCCAUAUCCCUUUAAACAGAGGACAUCAGGCAUCCAUAUUUCUUGACUGCUUACAAAUAUUUGAUACAAGGGUUCUGUCUCCAUUAAUGGGGUUGGUAACGAGGGCUCCAUGUCUCAAGAGUCAGGGGCCAUGGAGUAAUGGGUGAGAAGUAUUAAUGCUGGUGAGAGGUUACAGAAUGAAUGGAGGGAUGGAGGGUGUAAUUUUUCCCUAGGCAGAUGUGAGUGUACAUCUGCAUGCCACUGAUGAAAUGCCAAAACUACAAUGAUUCUAGCCAAGUCUAGCUUGGUGAACCAAUGAGUUUAUUGGGGUUACUUAGAGGAGCACUCAAAGGCAGCUGCCUCACCAGAAAGCCUGCCCUAGCAUGGAUGGUGAGCUAGGAAAGCUACCUGGGUGACUUACAGGUACCUCUGAUGGGGAAAGUCUUCAUUCCUCAGUACCUAAGCUGCUUUUAUAGCCUUGAAGGGCACUGUGGAUCUCAUAACUUGUGAUCUUCUAAGUUUUAUGAAUUUCCUGAGCCUUCUUUACCUUCCUGGUCGUUGAAGCUUCUCUCCUCCUUCCAGGAGGGAAUUCUUUGAAGGAGGUGGAAAAAAAUCCCCAUGGAAGAUGGCGAGUUCAUUAAUGUCCACUGGGACAAAUUACCAUGGGCCAAAACAGUAGAAAUCCACUAUCUUCUAGUUCCAGAGUUCAGAGGCAUGACAAGCAUCUCCCUGGGAUGUCAUGCAACUUUGAGCCAUGUUGUGUUACUUCAGGAGGCUCCAAGGGAGAAGCUUGUCUUGUGCCACCCUCCCUCCCUCCCCCUUUAGAGGCCACCUGCAUCUUUUUGUUCCUAGCUCUUUCAUUCCUCUUCAAAGCACUUCCGAUUUGGCAUUUCAGAUUUGGCCUUGACUUCUGAUAGGCCUUGGCAACCUCCCUCUCUUUCUGAGGGCUCUUGUAAUCACAAUGGGCUUAUCCUGACCCAUCCAGAUGAUCUCCUGAUUUUAAGGUUAACAGAUAGGCAAUGGAAAUUCCACCUACAACCUCAAUCCCCCCUCCCCCCCAAUGAAUAACAUACAAGUCCUGGAAGAAGGGCUGAUGUACAACUUUGGGUGGGAAGCAUUCCUUUAGUAAGAGGGAAGCUCCCAAUGGUCACUGGAGUGUCAGCAUCUUCACUCCAUAUCAAUACUGAAGGAAACGUGACCUCAGACAGUUUAUGUGAAUUUCAACUGUUGGCUCCACAGGGGAGGAAAUUUCCCGGAGCCCUGGGCUGUUUGGCAUUGAAGUGUAGAGCCUUUACUCUUCCAGUUUGCUUUGCUGUACCUGGGCCUCACCUGGUGUCUAGUCUCAAGAGACAGUUCCACUCCAUGGAUUCAGAAUGGACUUGAUCUGUCCGUAAGAGUUUGUUUGAACGAGAGCAUGAUCUUUUAGAACUACCUUCUAAAUGUCCACUUGGGGACACUGAACUUUAGCUCAAGGGUUCCAAAAGUCUAAAAUCCUAGAAGUCCCCCUUAGGCAUUCUACGAAGAGGGGCCUAAAGAAUGCCCUCCCAAAGCAAGCUUUCUCCCUUAGCAGCUGCAGUAAAUGUAUGUCACCAUAUGGUAACUCUGUUGGAUGAGGCUGGCACCUAGAAGAAAAAGAGGACUUUAGCCACUGGGUGUUCACAGUGAUGGAGCUGGUGACUCUGGAAUAGAGUCCAACUCCUAAGACAGAGGGUGGUCCAGUGGGCAAAUGCAAGAAGUCUUCAGUCAAGGUCACUGCAAGAGGGGAAGACUCAGGAAGACUUACUGCAUGAUUUUUUCACUUGGAAAGAGCAAACCAUGAUCUGGGGUAACAGAUUCCCAAAGGAGGCAUCCAGAUAUUAUUUAGAAAGUUACCACCCUCCAAGUCAGCUUUACUUGGAGCUUUACUUUACAGCUGCCCAGCGGUUCACAUAAAGAUGGAACCUGACCAAAGACAGGGCACAAGACCUUUUUGCUAAGAAAGUAAAUUCUUUAGAACUCUGAAAUGAAUCCAGUCUUUGAAGAGAGACGAGGCAUUGAGGAGAGACCUUGGGGGCCAUGGAGAAAGGCAGCCCUGGUUCCUGGAUGAGCAUCACGAAGGGACUACAGUAUGUUGUUGAGUCAUGGAAAAGUCACUUCAGCAUAGUACUACAGAGUUUCCUUUCAUCCCUAGCAACUGAUGGGUGACAAAGGGAAUCUUGAACCUCUGCCUCACAAAGACGAACAAAGCUGACUCAAGGCACCUGUGUUCAGGAAUCUGACUAAGCUAGAAAGGGCAAAGCGACCCACGAUGGGUCUUCUUCCCUUGUGGCCACUGGCAGCUUCUGAGAUCUACAGACUGGAUGAUUAAGAAAACUUGCCAAAAACGGAGACAGAAGCAGGAGUUAAAAGGAAAGGUCUCAGCCUGCUACGAACCCCAUCCUCUGCUCCUCGACAAUGAUCCUCCAGUCCCCACAUCCCAGCAUCAGCCUACACCGAACCCUGUUCUCUGCUUACCCACAACUCUAAGCUGAUCCUUUGGACUGGAGCCUAGCAUGGCUGUCUUUUGAGAGGCUCCACCUAGCAGUUGACUCAGAUGCAGAAAUCCACAGCCAAAGAUUGGAUGGAGCUUGGAACUCUUUUAUGGAAGAGUUGGAGGAAGGAUUGAGGGCCCAGAAGGGGAUAGGAACUCCACAAGAAGACCAACAGUCAACUAACCUGGACCCUUGGGGGCUCUCAGAGACUGGACCACCAACAAAAGAGCAUUCAGUGGCUGGAUCUAACUGCCCCCUUUUGCCUGUACUAUGGACAGCUCUCAACCCACCCCUACCUGCCCUCGGGGGUUGGGGGUGAGUUGGCGCAGAGUCAAGGACAUGGACAGACCCCUGGUAACAGGUGAGAAAUGCUGCAGCAAGCUCAUCUGAGCACUGCUGCAAGCUCUCUUAAUACCCUCCACCCAUGGCCCCAUUGGUCCCAAGAAAGCAUUCUGAACAGCAGUUAAUGAUUGGCUGGUAUUAUUUGCACCAGCAAUUCUUUCUCUCUUAGGCAGUCCUCAGUUAGGUCCUCCUGCAGGAAUGCUGGUGUCAUAGACAGUCCUCAAUUAGGUCCUCCUGCGGGAGAUGCUUCUGCAGCUGCACAGCCCCCAGCAUUUACACGGGCAACUCUGCGGUUCCUGCUACAGCCCCCGUUCCUCGCACGCACAUACGUAGCAGAUGUGCAGCUAGGUCUUCAUUUAGGUCCGGAACAACUGGAGCUGGACUAUCCCUAAAGCUGUUGCCUGUUUGUGGAAUCUGCUUCCCUAACUUGGCUGUCUUGUCUGGCCUCAGUAGGAGAAGAAGUGCCUAGCCCAGCAGGACUUGCUGUAUCAGGGUUGGGGGAUACCCAGAGAAGGCGUUAGUUACUCUUCUCGGUGGUGUGACAAAAAACCUGGUGGAAAAUAAGAAGAAAGGAUCUUUUUCAUUCACAGUCUGCGGUUGUAGACCAUGUAGCAGCUGCUCACAUUUUGUCCAGUCAGGAAACAGAUGGACGCUCAAUGUUUCAGUUACUGUUACUAAACAGAAACAGCUUAAGAGAGAAAGGGGUCACUUCCACUUGAAUUUCAAGGAUACAGGUAAUUACAACAGGGAAGUCCUGGGGGCAGGAACGUCCUGGGUGGGAGCAGGAACUUGAGGCAGUCGGCUAGCUACCUCUUCUUCCAAGACCAUGGAAUAGUGAGCGCUACUCUCUUUAAUGUAGAGUUAGGCUUCUCACCUAAGUAAACCCAUUAAGAUAAUUUCCCAUAGCACGAUCAGAGAUUGGUCUCCUAGGUGUUUGAGAAUCUGUCCAGUUUACAAUAGUGUAAACUUAGCUUGGUUCCUCCCUUUCACCCAGUCCUGGACCCCAGCUCAGGGAAUGGUGCUGUUUGCUUUUAGGGCGUGUCCCCUCACAUCUAUUGCCUUUAUUUAAUCCCUCCCAGACAUACCCAGAGACUCAUCUCUCUGAUGACCUUAGACCAUAUCAAGUUGAUAUUAAUCACUACAGGAAGCAGUCCUACUUCUUUUUAAAUUUUUUUUUUUUUAAAUUUUACUUUUAUGUUAUAUGCAUUGGUGGUUUUGCCUCUAGGUAUGUCUAUGAGGGUGUCAAUGCCCUGGUACUGGAGUUGCAGACAGUUGUGAGUUGCUACGUGGGAGCUUGGAAUUAAACUCCAGUCCUCCGGAAGAACAGCUAGUAUUCUUUUCUUUUCCCAACAGAGUAGUUUUAUUGCUUAUUUGGGAAUUUGACGUAAUGCACCCUGAUCAUACUCACUUCCCAGGCUUUCCAGGUCCACCUCACCCUUGUAAGCCCCCCACUCCCCCCAAGUCCACAAGUUCAAUUUAUGUUGCUCAUAUACUCACUGGAGCGUGGUCAAAGUCCAAGUGGCCAACCCCUAAAAGAAAACUGAGUUCUUUCCCAUCCUCACUCUUGCCAGAAGCCCUCAGCUGUGCAGAGCCACACUUCAGUUUCCUGAGCACACUUUUAAGAGUUCUCUUCAAUGCGGCCAGUAGUGUAACCACUGAGCCAUCUCUUCAGCACCCCCAUUUUGGUUAUCAUUCCUCUAUCUCUCCCUUCAAACCCACACGUAUAUCCUCCCUUGCUCUCUUUCAGCUUCAUGACCUUUUUAUUUCAUUUUACGUUUCAUUGUUGUAUAUGUAUGUAUAUGUAUUUCUAAACGUACCCUGCUCAGUCUGUAAUAUUUGUUGUUCUGGGCAGCUCUUAUCCAAGAUAAGGAGAUCAGGACCAGCUCUUUAUGAAUUUUAAGUUUUUAUUGAGCCACACAGAGCUGUCCAGGGGGCACUCACCACUUUGACUGUAAGUAUAAAGAGGCACCCCAACUCUGUAAAGAAGGUUGUAAAGGUAAAACCUACAGGUUGGGCACAUCCCAUGAGCUCUGUUGAGGUGGCUGUUGGCAAGCAUGACAGGAUAAAGACUUUUUACAAAAAUGGGGCACAGCUGUGUUACCAUGGUAUCACUGUUUGAUGAGGGAGAGGAGCAGAAAGCCUCAUGGUUAUAAAAGCCGAACAAUGGCAGGCAACUUAAGGUUCCCAUAAGUAGUUUACAUGCCUGAGGGUCAGACAGACCUCAGUCUUAGCCUGAGGUAGGGUCAGGAAUUAGCAGACAUGUUUUUCCUCACUACAUACAUUGUGAUAUUCUUCUUAGCAGUUCAUGGAACCUUCUCUAAAAUAGAGCACAUUUGAAGUCACAAAUAAAGAUGUACUGAAUACAAAA
rnacentral:lncRNA from 1 species